rnacentral:rRNA from 1 species
GAUGAACGCUGGCGGCGUGCCUAAUACAUGCAAGUCGAGCGAACGGACGAGAAGCUUGCUUCUCUGAUGUUAGCGGCGGACGGGUGAGUAACACGUGGAUAACCUACCUCUAAGACUUGGAUAACUUCGGGAAACCGUAUCUAAUACCGGAUAAUAUUUUGAACCGCAUGGUUCAAAAGUGAAAGACGGUCUUGCUGUCACUUAUAGAUGGAUCCGCGCUGCCUUAGCUAGUUGGUAAGGUAACGGCUUACCAAGGCAACGAUGCAUAGCCGACCUGAGAGGGUGAUCGGCCACACUGGAACUGAGACACGGUCCAGACUCCUACGGGAGGCAGCAGUAGGGAAUCUUCCGCAAUGGGCGAAAGCCUGACGGAGCAACGCCGCGUGAGUGAUGAAGGUCUUCGGAUCGUAAAACUCUGUUAUUAGGGAAGAACAUAUGUGUAAGUAACUGUGCACAUCUUGACGGUACCUAAUCAGAAAGCCACGGCUAACUACGUG